rnacentral:lncRNA from 1 species
CCCUCUCUCCAAAGGACCCAUUUUAGGAGGAAAAGCAGGAAGUGCACUGCUAAAUAUUUUUGCUUCCUCUCUGCUGCUGCAGCUGCUUUUGUGCAAGCUGAUCACUAAUUCUGCCGGGUCUCCAGGCCGGGCCCUGGCAAACCUCUGCAACACAACCGUAACUCAUCCCUUCAUCUUAGACGCCCGUCUUAGGUUGCUGCCCACCCCCCAGGUCCCCCCGCCUCUCCUUCCCUCUGCGCAUCCUUUGUGAAGGCACAAUGGCUCCUGAUAAUUAAUUGAUGGCCUCUCCUCUGAGGCAUCCAGCCUGGGGUAAGGUGAGCCGGCGGAGGUGGCCCCGGGCCCUGCUCAGGGAAACUCGACCUGAACGGGGUCAUCUGAACAGGGAACGAGGACCGGCAGACGAGGGCGGUGGGUACCCUCUGGGACCUGGCACGGCACGGGUGGCUCCAUAAAAGGCAGGCAAGGGCCGGCUUUCUCAGGGGCCCAGGGGACGCCUGGCCACAGACACCACUUGGGGACUUCCCCGCUGCACAAGGGGAGAUGGCUACGUUUGUGCCGUAUGCUUCCUGCUAUGGCAACAAGCAGGCCGUGCAGCUCUUGGGAAGGAACAGCUACUUUGCCCUAUUGGCGAAUCCGCCGUGCCUGAUCAGCCAGCGCCAGCGCCUUGCCUGCCCGGCCCCGGAGAUGACCCUGCGGCAGAUCAGCCGACUGAUCCGCGUCUUGCGGCAGCUCAACCUGAGAGACGCCAGGAGGAACCAGCUGCCUGGCGCUCCAAGGGCCCGAUCCAGCAGCUCCUCCACGGCUUCGCAGCAGUCGCGGACUUCGGAGCACCACUGCCUGUCCUGCUUCCAGCCGAGACGCAAUUCCGGCCUACUGUGCGUCAGGUGAACAGCUGGGCCUCCGCCAGGCAGCCAAGAAAAACCAAAUAAACUUUGUUUUUUUUUGGGGGGGGGCA